rnacentral:rRNA from 1 species
UACGGAGGGGGCUAGCGUUGUUCGGAAUUACUGGGCGUAAAGCGCGCGUAGGCGGAUCUGCAAGUCGGGGGUGAAAUCCCGAGGCUCAACCUCGGAACUGCCUUCGAUACUGCGGGUCUCGAGUCCGGGAGAGGCGGAGUGGAAUUCCGUGGUGUAGCGGUGAAAUGCGCAGAUAUCAGGAGGAACACCAAUGGCGAAGGCAGCUCGCUGGGACGUGACUGACGCUGAGACGCGAAAGCGUGGGGAGCAAACAGG